CCCAACACUAACUUAAUUGCUUUCAACUCAACGCUGUCAAGCCCACUCCCAAUUUCAGACAAUUAGUUAAUUUCCAAGCCCAAACUCUUAACAGCCCACUUCAUUGCUUUUAAACAACAACCCAAUCCAACUCCAUUCCUCAUCCAACCCAACACCAAACUUAAAUAACCCGCCACCCGACCCGACCCAGACAACCCUUUCCCUUUCUUCUUCCCAAACGCUCACCUAAUUCCCAGAAAGAAAACAGAAACCCAUAAUUCCCCAGAAAUCACGCGAAAAACAGAGAAACGCCAGCAACCCCAUCGCGUCUCUCCCCGCGUCUCCCUCACGUCCUCUCUCCUCUCCUUCCCUCUCUCCCGCGUCUCCCCCACGCUCGCUCUCUCCUUCCCCUCUCGACAGAAACCCAGAAAAACAGACCGACUCCUGCAAACGCCAACAGCCCCACGCUCUUCUCCUUCCAUAUUUCUCUUCGCGUGAACCAGACGGAAGCGCAGAGACCCAUACACUGUCGAGUAGGUCUGCGAGGUGUCAAUUUCAUCCUCUCCAACAGGCCUGUGCCAUGUGAAGUUUGACCGAAAUGGGAUUUAGUUUCGAAUUCAAAAGGAGAAAAGGGGGGCUAUUCCUUCUCCUCUAUAAAUACCCCUUUUCUUCAUCACAAAAGGGUUAGAGAAUUUUCAUCGAAGAAUUCGGAAAAAGCAGAACUUGGGUUGGAUAUUUUUUGGAAAUUUGGUCGAUAGUUUAAGUUGAAUCGUUGGUUGAAACUUUGUUAACAUUUUAGCAUAAGAAUAGUCCAGUUCUUCAGCUUUCCUUACGCACUUCGGAAGAGUUGAUCGAUCCAUCGGCUUCCUUCCCUCGUUUGGGUGUUCGAGUUGUCAUUCGUGGCAGAAGCAGUUCGCACCUGCUCGUAUCGUCUCAAUUCGUUGCUCGUCAACAGGAUGUUAAUUGGUAAAAGGCCCAAAUCUAAAUUAUUGGAUUAGGACAGGUGGGCUAAAGCCCAAUUGAAUGAAUUUGGGCAAUUAAGCCCAAGUUCAAAUAUUUUUUCUCUUUGUUUAAUAUUUGUUUGAAUUGAUUAGUA